rnacentral:rRNA from 1 species
AUUGAACGCUGGCGGCAUGCCUUACACAUGCAAGUCGAACGGCAGCACGGGAGCAAUCCUGGUGGCGAGUGGCGAACGGGUGAGUAAUGUAUCGGAACGUGCCCAGUCGUGGGGGAUAACGUAGCGAAAGCUACGCUAAUACCGCAUACGAUCUAUGGAUGAAAGCGGGGGAUCGCAAGACCUCGCGCGAUUGGAGCGGCCGAUAUCAGAUUAGGUAGUUGGUGGGGUAAAGGCUCACCAAGCCGACGAUCUGUAGCUGGUCUGAGAGGACGACCAGCCACACUGGGACUGAGACACGGCCCAGACUCCUACGGGAGGCAGCAGUGUGGAAUUUUGGGCAAUGGGCGCAAGCCUGAUCCAGCAAUGCCGCGUGCAGGAUGAAGGCCUUCGGGUUGUAAACUGCUUUUGUACGGAACGAAACGGCGAGCUCUAAUACAGUUUGCUAAUGACGGUACCGUAAGAAUAAGCACCGGCUAACUACGUGCCAGCCGCCGCAGUAA